CUUUUUUGCCGGUUCUUCCCGCUGAGGAAGUGUCGCUCAAGACGCUGGCCUAUGAGUUGUGAUUUCUGCCUUUUCCCCUUCCUCCUUGGGCUAAGCCAGACCAGAAAGGGCCCCGUGCGCAACGUGCUUCACAAUCUCUCAGGGAAAGCGGCUAACGUGGCGCUACUCCGCCUCCCCUGUUCCUUACCCUUGGGGCGGCCGCCAUGUUUCCUGAACACAAAAUGGCGACACGUGGUUAGCAUUCGUCGCCAACGAGAAAUUGGGGUCGGCCCGAAAGCUCUAGAAUGCACCCCUCUUCCUCCCCGGGGCCUUCCACCUCCGCGAGUUUUAUGACUUAAAAAAGCCCACAGGCUGGUCUGAAGGUCGGAGGCCUAAUUUUAACGCGUUUUCCUCCCUUUAAUUUGAAACGGGAACGCGAAUGACUGUAAAAUGUGGGCACAAUAUUUAAUCUCUCGCCUUUUUAAAGCUUAAUAGUGGAUAAUAGGGGGGCAGUAUCAAGGGAUAAUUUGGGUCCCCACAGUACCAAAGCAUUUAGAAACCUCUGUUUAAUUUAAGGAAUGAGAUAAGUUACUGCUUUUCUAGACUUCCUAGCAUGGGCUGUUGUGCUGGAGAGAACGAGAGCUACGAAGAGACUACAGUGCCUCUGACUUUUUCAUAGGACAGUUGGCCGAGGAAGACAAACAUAAAGAUGAAGUGCUUAAUUCAAGGUCACACAAUGUCGGGGAUGGACCUCCAGAUUUCCUUACUGACCUGCAUUAUCUUGUGGAUACCUGAGUGAAUUCCACACCACCCAUUUUAUAGAUGAAACCACUGAGACAUGGAGCAAUUGACUGAGUAGUCACUGCCCCACCCCUGCCUGGAGCCUCACACAUGACUCGCCUCCUCUCAGUGACCACAGGUGAGACGUGGUCUUGUAACACAGUGGUUAAGAAUGUGACUUUGGAGCCAGCCUGCUAGGGGCUGAAUUCUGACUCAGCCAUUUACUAACUGUGUGACCUUAGUCUGUCUAGUGACUGGUGUUGUCAUAAGAAGAGAGGGACACAGAGGGAAGAUGGCCACAUGAAGAUGGAGGCAGAGAUUGCAGUUAUGCUGCUGCAAACUAAGGAAUGGCUCUGGCCCUCCAAGGAUUGCUGAUAACCACCAGAAACUAGAAGAGACAAGGAAGGAUUCUUCCCUAGAGCCUUCAGAGGGAGCAUGGCCCUACUGACACCUGGAUUUCAAACUUGUAGCUUCCUAAACUGCAAGAGAAUAAAUUUCUGUUGUUUUAA
rnacentral:lncRNA from 1 species